CUCUUGAGCUCUUGUGGUGACCUGGGAAUCAAUGUGUGAGGUGGUGCUAUGUAGCAGGAACCCCUCUUGCUUUGCAAAUAGUUUUUUGUUUGUUUUCCUUUUUGCCCAAUAGAGCCCUGCUCUACUGACCCUUCAAUGUGCCCGUGUGCCUAAAUAUUCCUGGUCGUGUGAAAAGAACCCAGGUAUUAGCUGAACUAAGGAGCACAAUUCUGCAACAUUUUGGCACCCAAACACGGGGCUUGAGAAAUGGUGAGUAAGAUGCGAACAAAAACGCCCCUUUUUUUCCUUUACCUUCUAAGCCUUUGUGUCGUCGGACUUUUUCUGAGAGUAGGGGAAAUUGUACCUCCCUCCCCUCCACUCCUGUCUCUUCCAGCGGUCGGGAAUAUCAGCCUUUUCCUGUUUUUAAGGGAUAGACAGGUGAACCAGAGGCUCCCUGCUCCCCUCUUAAGUUCCUCGCCCUGCUGGAGGAACCCAUUUCCAUAAGAAUAAGAUUUUCUUCCUGCAGGCAUCUUUCCAACUCUGCACUUUAAACUUUUCUGCCUUUCUCUACCCUGCCAGCAGUUAACUUUUAAGUGAGAGUUUUGUUUUUUUUUUUUCCUUUUAGAAGACAUUUUACUAGGCCAGGAAUUAUAAGGAUCACUGUUUAUAUUCUCUGUAAAGUUUUAAUUAUUAAAAAUGAUUCAUGAGGUUGAUUUUAAUCUGUAGCCAAUCUAGUGUGCUUUGCAUGGCUUUCUGUAUGGUCAGUAGCAACUUUGCCGCAGGUCUCCAUCUAGUUUUACGUCUUUCAAGUGUGACCUGUAACCUCAUGGCAAUGUUUCGUUUAGCCUCCACCAUUUUACAGUGGCAGCUGGGUUCAAUCCUGGCUUAAGGAAUAAACUCCUUCUGAUUUGAUAUCUGGAUGACCUUUGCAAUUUGUUGAUUCUUUUCCCCUCAACAGCCUUGGAUUUUUCUUUCCCUGAGCCUUUAGUAAAGUUUGAAAGCCAGAAAUAUUGGCUGCUCGGCAUAACUAAAACCAGAUAACAAGGGAUUUAAAACAAUUUUCUUAAAGAGCACACAGCUUAAUUAAAAGUGUAUAUCCAAGUUAUAGGCAUAUUUGAAAGGCCUUUAUUUAUUUAAUUUUUUUCCCCCUUGGAUUUUGUUUUGCUGGAAAAAGGGUUUUUUCUCAGUUGGCCGAAUUCUUUUUCUCCAUUUUGUCUUGCCACUCUUGAUGCAUGCACGUGAGGCUCUAAGGUAACUCUGGGGUGCAUGGGACUCCUUGAGAAAAACAGAAGGCACCACUGACCCCUUUUUGGGAAGAAAUCUGUUUUCCUCAUGGAACCCCAGGAAUUAAAAGCAGAUAGAUCCCUCUCAAAAUCUGUUUUUGCUUCCCAAUUAUGCCUGUUUAUUACGCCCUAGAAGCAGCAUGUUUUCCUAGCCCUGUCUCUUAAAGGGAUCCGCCUGGAGGACAAUAAUCCUAUUAGGAGACUGGCAAAUGAAAAACCUUGUGGCUGCUGAGUUUUCUUCUGCCUGGCUGUGUAGUUAUAUAUGUGUUGUAUUUGUGAUGUUUAUAAAAACAGCUCUAAUUAAUUGGCCUAAAGAAAAAUAAGCACUUGGAUCAAAUAUUUUUUAAUGGAAAGAUAAAAGCUGUGGUAGCUUUUAGUUCUCAUGACUUUAAUCUUUGAGAAAUAAAAACAGCCUUAAAGAUUAUUUGGUGAAAUGCAUAUGUCAUCAAAAUUUAAAUAGGUGGACUAAAUUAUGCACGUCAGAUACUAGGUUUGCUAAAUGUUUUAAGGCUAUAAAAUGCUUUUUGAGAAUGAUUCAAUUUGCUGGCUUCACAACUGGUAAGGCCCGGAGACAUAUGUUACUAACCACGCCCUUAGUUGUGCUGGAAGGAGUCAAACCUUGGCUGCCCCUAGCACAUAAUUAAAACAACUUACCAGGUUUUACUUUAAAGGUAAAAAUUGCUAGGAGUUACCAUUAUAACAUGUAAUUGAGACCACUAAAAAUAUAUUUACAUUUGAGUUAUGUGAGAACAGUAAAAUAUGUUUUUAGUAAAAGAUUAUAAGAAGGCAUAGAAAUGUAAAAUUCUGCCUAAGGUUAAAAGAUUGUUUUGAAUUAAAUAAGAUAACAGUAAAAGUUCAAACAAGUUGUGGAAGGAUUGCAAAAAUUAACCUUGCAAAGGAAAUCCCAUGUGUGAACAUAUUGACUAAAUUCAAAGAAUAUUAUAUGGUUUUUCUGUAAAUUCAGCAUUGAAAUAAAAGCAUAACAAGGCACUCUUAAAGCAGUAAGCUACUCUUCAGCAAAAUUUGUAAAGUGUUAUAACAGAUUUUUGCUUUUAGAAUUUCUGAGUCAUCAUUUUAGCAAAGUAAAUAACAUGGUAAUCUGGAAUCCUAUUUCAUAACAUCAAGUAUUUUAAAUCCCUAACAUACUUAACAGCCUUCCCAAAAUCAAACUUCAGUUUCAAAAUUGUCUUUCUUGAUACCAGACUUUUGGAUGCUACAGAGGACACCUGCAGCAUCAAAAAAAGUAAGGUAAAUGGAUUAUCUGGUAUGUUUUAGGUACAUGGGAUUGACAAAACGGUGUUCAAUCCUUUUUCGGUUGUAUUUUUGUGAAUAAUACUAAUAGUACUAAUAAUAAUACUAAUGUAUAGUUCCAAACUUUUAUGGGAUUUAAAAAAUUCUAAUGUUUGAGCAUAUACUAUCAAUCAUAAUUAUAGCUAUUAUGUUAAAUUAUUGUAAACCAUGGAGAUAACCAAAUUUAUUUGUCAAUCAUGUUUCUGACUGCAACUACCCUGGACAUUUUGUUACUCACAAACCAUUGUUGUCUUGUUUUGAUCCUAUCCUCUUCACAUGAUGUUUAUAAUCAGCUAUGGAACUUUGACAGGUGUUCUCAAAUGCAGGCUUCUGAUAACUUUGGAGAUUGUGACAUUGGAAUAAAGGAAAAACAUACAGGGCUCAUGAAAAUUGAAAUGUUCAUGGAUAGCAAGCAAAACAAGAGUUAACUGAAUGGACUGAACUAAUAGAAAACUGAAGUAAUCGUUUUAGCUUUUGCUUGGAAUAUUGCUGAUCAUUAUUUUGUUUUUCAGAGUCCAGGAAACUUAUUUUGAACUAUUUAUGACCUUUAAUAAUUGAGUAAGGUGUACUCCUGUGAACAAAAUUUGGAGCAUUAUUUGUCUCUCUCUGCCUGGCUUCUCCAGAAUUUGGAAACUAAUAUUGAGUAUUCUUAACUUAUGGCAGUAUAGUCAUUUGCAUCAGUGCAAUAAGAAUCCUUUUUCUUUUGCAACAGAAUGCAAUUGGAGAAACUGGUUGUUUUACCAGGCGUUGAUUGGAAAUGUGUGCUUCCCUUUAAGCAGUCAAGCUCAACUUGCAGAACUGAUGGGAACCCCUUGGGAAAACUGGCCUCAAAUGUUUGUCUACACAGUCCACAUACAGGGUUCUUAACCUGCGGUGAGUAAAGAAUGUCACUUUCCAACAGGCCCAGAUAUCAUAUGCUCUUGGGACCUCAAGAAGAGAGGAGUUUACCCAAUUCAUAGGUGUGUGAGGAUAAAAACCUAGGGCUGGGCUCAGCUUUAAAUGGUCUUAUCUGAGAUUCUUUGUGAAACAGAUUUUCAUGAAAGCCAAUCUAGAGGGCCUACGUAGAAAUAAUUGUUUUUGCUGCACUUUAUGCACAUAAUCAAGCCAAUUAUAAGACUAAAGUCUAUAUUGCAAGCAACACACUCCUAUUAUGAUUUGUUUUUAACAGAAAUGAGGACGAGACAGAGAGAAAUUAUGUUUCAAAACUUAUCAUCAUUAGUUUCUAGACUUAUUAUUUCUUUUUAAGUUUUUACCUACAUUUUAGACUGACCCUGCUUGUGCCUGUGAACCAACCAACAAUCUCUGGCUGCAGCUCAGAAAGGACAAAAGAGAAUGGGUAAUGUAAAAACCUGGAUCAGUAUUUUAGUUCUGAACAAUUAUCCUGCAAAUCCUGCCAGCUGAUGGGAAUAAAUAGGAUGCCCAUGAUCCGGAGGUUUACUUUUUGGGAAAGUAAAACCAAGGGAGCUAACCAAAGUAAAACCCCAUACACCCAAAUCUGAGCAAGCAUAACUAUAGCCACCAGUUAUCUGGGUGUGUCACAAGACACUCUUUUCUUUCCUUUGUUGGAGGAGAACUCAUUUCCACAGCUUCACUUUAGCAUUAUGGCUUAUGUUAAGGAGUCUAUGCAACUUCCAUGCUGAGACACGUUUUUGGUCCCAAAGUUAAUUCCAAGCUUUGUGUCAAAGGCCUAAGAAAACUGGAUCUUAGGGAUCCAGAAGCCAGACAAUAAUGAAAGUCAAAAGGCACAGCACAGGUGAGCAUGACUAAUUCCCGCUGAUUAAGCCAAGCUUCCUGUUUCAUGGAUAAAGGUCAUGCUAGUAUCCAUGGCAUAAAUGAGGUCUAGAGAACUAAAAGGCUACUGCCAGCAGGGGAGAUAGGGAGGACAUAAGACAGGGCAGCUAUUCCCAUCCCCUAGACCCCCUGUUAACAUGGAUGAAAGCCACUUUGACACCCAUGGGUGGCACCCUGUCACAGUUGGUGGGACUCAGCAAUACAGGGACAGAGGAAAGAAAGAGGAACAACUCACUUUCUCUCCCUCACACACCCUGAGUAUUUGCUAGAAAAAGAAAGGAACCAGGCACACAUGCUCCCCUAUUUCUAGAUGAGUAGCCAUUCAUCUUUAGUCUGCACCCUUUUAGAACAUGUCCUGAACCCCUGGGACUCUUCUGAAAAAAAUGCCUUCUUUUUUCCUUUUUCUUCCUCUGUCCUCUAUUCACUGGUAGGUAGGUAAUGGUGUCCCAUACCACAGAACACUUCCCUCAGAUGCAUCCUUCUAACUGGGAGGAGUUAAUUUCUCAAACCGUAGACUAAUUGGCUUAGGAUUAGGUUCAGGGGAAGGGAACACAGAAACAUGACAUGCCAGCAAAAGGGUAAAAGGUUUUUUUUCCCCGUUGGGCUUUUGGCCUCUCUCUCCCUGUGCAAACUGGUAAAAGGCGUCUGGAUUUUCUAGUUGUCCUUACCCACUGCUUGUUUCGUUUUGAUACAUAUUUUCUAAUAACCUGUUUGUCUCUUCUCACUUUUAGGCCAUCAAACUCCAGUCUGCACCUGGAGCCUUGGAUGAUGGCCUUUUUUACUGGGAACCCUGAAAUAGGCCUCUGAGGGAAAUCUGAUUGCCAUUUUCCCAAAACAGCUUCCCUGACAAUAGGAAGCAAUUAAGAUUGGUCUUCAUCCUUAUCUUUAUCCUUAUUCUAAUGGCAGUUAGAGGUACUUCUUUAGAGGGGGGAAUGAGACAGCCAAAUGCCUAGGCAGAUAAAAAGGUGUACCUGGAAAAUUUCCAACCCGUCACACAAGUGUUUACAUCAGAUGCUUUUGUGUAGAUGAGGGAAACUUCCCAGGGCUUGUCUGGGUAUGCCCACAGUGGACUGGAGCCCAAAAUGCACACUGGAGGAAGUGGAUGGAGCCACGUGGAUGUCAUGCCUUAUGCAGGGGAGGAGCCUGCUCUCUUCAGCUCCUGUGGUAAUGUGGGAAUCGAUCUGUGAGGUGAGGACCUGUUAGCAGGAACCCCUCUUGCUUUGCUGAAAGUUUUAUUUUUCUUUUUGCCCUAUAAAACCCUGUUCUACUAACCCUUCAAUAUGUCUGCAUUCCUAAAUUUUCCUGGUCAUGUGACGAGAACCUAGGUUUUAGCUGAACUAAGGAGCAAAAUUCUGCAACAUAAAGUCAAAGAAAACUAUGCCUAUAUCCAUUAAAUCAAAUGUUAAAAAGCAAAUAUAAAGAAAAAGUCUUCACAGCCCUAGAGAAAAGUGAAACAUUGUACAUAAAGAAGUAAUAAUUUGAAUGGAUUGUCAGAAACCAUGACUAGAAGACAGAGGAGCAAUAUUUUCAAAUUUCAUAGAGAAAGGAAAAAAAGAAAAGAAGAAAAAAAAGAAGACAUAAUAAAACACCUGUCAUUUUAGUAUUCUGUACCCAUUGAACAUAACCUUCAAUAGAAUGUGAAGUAGACAUAUUCAGGUGAAUAAAAAAUCAAGAGAAUAAUAGUUAUGUUCUACAUGAAAUUAUAAAGGAAAUUUCUCAGACUAGGUGGAAAUUAUACUAGUGAGAAACAGAUUUGAAGGACUAAAGGAAGAGAUGAUAGACUGACAAAGUCAAUUUUUAAAAGCCAGAUCUAACUUCUUAUUGGCUACAAGGAAUCCACUUUUAAUAUACAAAAAUAGGUAAUAAUUAAAUUGCUAGAAAAUACAUUUCAAAUAAAGAAUCAGCACAUGUAGCUUGGAGAAGAUAUAUUAACAUAAAAAGGACUUCAAUAAAAGGAGUAUUAUGAGAAGACAUUUAUGCAGCCAAAAAACACAUGAAAAAAUGCUCACCAUCACUGGCCAUCAGAGAAAUGCAAAUCAAAACCACAAUGAGAUACCAUCUCACACCAGUUAGAAUGGCAAUCAUUAAAAAGUCAGGAAACAACAGGUGCUGGAGAGGAUGUGGAGAAAUAGGAACACUUUUACACUGUUGGUGGGACUGUAAACUAGUUCAACCAUUGUGGAAGUCAGUGUGGUGAUUCCUCAGGGAUCUAGAACUGGAAAUACCAUUUGACCCAGCCAUCCCAUUACUGGGUGUAUACCCAAAGGACUAUAAAUCAUGCUUCUAUAAAGACACAUGCACAGGUAUGUUUAUUGCGGCACUAUUCACAAUAGCAAAGACCUGGAACCAACCCAAAUGUCCAACAAUGAUAGACUGGAUUAAGAAAAUGUGGCACAUAUACACCAUGGAAUACUAUGCAGCCAUAAAAAAUGAUGAGUUCAUGUCCUUUGUAGGGACAUGGAUGAAAUUGGAAAUCAUCAUUCUCAGUAAACUAUCACAAGGACAAAAAACCAAACACCACAUAUUCUCACUCAUAGGUGGGAAUUGAACAAUGAGAUCACAUGGACACGGGAAAGGGAACAUCACACUCUGGGGACUGUUGUGGGGUGGGGGGAGAGGGGAGGGAUAGCAUUAGGAGAUAUACCUAAUGCUAAAUGAUGAGUUAAUGAGUGCAGCACACCAGCAUGGCACAUGUAUACAUAUGUAACUAACCUUUACGUUGUGCACAUGUACCCUAAAACUUAAAGUAUAAUAAUAAUAAAAUAAAAUAAAAUAAAAAUUUAUCAGAAAAACAAUAUCAAUUAUAAUGUAUAUACCUAAUAAGAGAGCUCAAAAUAUUUGAAACAAAUCUGACAGAAUUAAAAAGAAGAAUGGAUAAAUUCACAAUUAUAGAAAAAGAUUAUACACCAGUUUCUUAAUAAUUGAUACAACCACUGGAGAAAUAAUAAGAAAGCAAAAAUAAAGACAUAGAUCCAAAUAA
rnacentral:lncRNA from 1 species